AACGAACGCUGGCGGCAUGCCUAACACAUGCAAGUCGAACGAUGCCUUCGGGCAUUUUGGCGCACGGGUGCGUAACGCCUGGGAAUCUACCUUUCGGUUCGGAAUCACUCAGGGAAACUUGAGCUCAUACCGGAUAACCUCGCACCGCCAAAGAUUUAUCACCGAAGGAUGAGCCCGCGUAGGAUUAGCUAGUUGGUGAGGUAAAGGCUCACCAAGGCGAGGUUCCUUAGCUAGUCUGGGAGGAUGAUCAGCCACACUGGGAGUGAGACACGGCACAGACACGGACGGGAGGCAGCAGUGGGGAAGAUCAGACGGUGGGCGAAAGACUGAGCCAGCAAUGCCGCGUGAGUGAGGAAGGCCGUAGGGAUGUAAAGCUCUUUUACCCGGGAAGAUAAGGACGGUACAGGGAGAAUGAGCCCCGGCUAACUCCGGG
rnacentral:rRNA from 1 species